UACGAAGGGGGCUAGCGUUGUUCGGAAUUACUGGGCGUAAAGCGCGUGUAGGCGGCAGCGUGUGUCGGGCGUGAAAUCCCACGGCUCAACCGUGGAAGUGCACUCGAAACUGCGCAGCUAGAGUCCUGGAGAGGAAGGUGGAAUGCUUGGUGUAGAGGUGAAAUUCGUAGAUAUCAAGCGGAACACCGGUGGCGAAGGCGACCUUCUGGACAGUGACUGACGCUGAGACGCGAAAGCGUGGGGAGCAAACAGG
rnacentral:rRNA from 1 species